UACGUAGGGCGCAAGCGUUGUCCGGAAUUAUUGGGCGUAAAGCGCACGUAGGCGGCAUUGCAAGUCGGAUGUGAAAUCUUAUGGCUUAACCAUAAAAGUGCAUCCGAAACUGCAGUGCUUGAGUACUUAAGAGGAUCGCGGAAUUCCCGGUGUAGAGGUGAAAUUCGUAGAUAUCGGGAGGAACACCAGUGGCGAAGGCGGCGAUCUGGGAAGAUACUGACGCUGAGGUGCGAAAGCGUGGGGAGCAAACAGG
rnacentral:rRNA from 1 species